rfam:Haemonchus placei strain MHpl1 genome assembly, scaffold: HPLM_scaffold0001758
UGCUCAAACUCGAAGUAGAGUAGUUGAGUAGGGUCAGACGAUCCUUCUUACCUACUUUACUUCAAAUUUGGGCCC